rnacentral:rRNA from 1 species
CGCCUGCCCAGUGAUAAUUAUUUAACGGCCGCGGUAUUUUGACCGUGCAAAGGUAGCGCAAUCACUUGUCUUUUAAAUGAAGACCUGUAUGAAUGGCUUGACGAGGGCUUAACUGUCUCCUUUUUCCAGUCAAUGAAAUUGAUCUUCCCGUGCAGAAGCGGGAAUAUAACCAUAAGACGAGAAGACCCUAUGGAGCUUUAAACUAAAACAGAUCUUGUUAAACGCAUCUAAUUAAAGAAAUAAACUUAAAAGAACCCUGUCAUUUAUGUUUUUGGUUGGGGCGACCAUGGGGAAACAAACAACCCCCAUGUGGACUGAGAAAACAGUUCUCACAACAAAGAGCCACAGCUCUAAUUAACAGAACUUCUGACCUUGAGAUCCGGCAAUGCCGAUCAACGGACCCAGUUACCCUAGGGAUAACAGCGCAAUCCCCUUUUAGAGUUCAUAUCGACAAGGGGGUUUACGACCUCGAUGUGGAUCAGGACAUCCUAAUGGUGCAGCAGCUAUUAAGGGU